GGCAUCUGAAGUGCACCACAGAUUUUAUUUACCAGGCAAGAAGAGGUCAUUGCAAAUGUGGAUGGAGGAAGGGGAGCCCCUGGGUAAAUUGUUUACAAAGCUGUACACAGAUGUGUUUUGGGAGAGAAGAAAAGCAAACACUGUGAACUUACUUAACUGGUUUUAUUUCCUGUACAUGUUCGUCAUGGGUCAGGGUUGCUAUUCAGCAAGUUGUUCAACAUUUUGAGGCCAAUCCUGCCAGUAAAUCUUGGUGUUUGAAAUUUAAGGGUCAUGAGAGUUGUUGGAGCUCUUUGAGGGAGAGCAACAGGGGAUGGGGAGAAUUUUUGUGCAAUUAGAAAAGUAAUCUUUUGAAGAAUAACAUGCUUUCCUUUUUCCCUUUCUGAGAAAAUGACUUGAUCCUCAGUUGGCCCUUGACAUUCAUCUGCCUAGGGGAAAUAAGGAUUUGUUACAGAAGGCAUGAGGGGGAAAUAACUGAGAUAUUUGGCUUCUGACAGUCAACAUGGGAUUUUAUAGCAAGACAAGAACUUUAUAAGCCAGGUUAGUGGCUUGAAAGAGGAUUUCCUAAAUUCCCUUUUAAAAAGAGAAUUCCUGUGCCUCCUUGAAGAGCCCGGCUUGGGGAACUUAAUUCAGGAAGUUCUCCCAGAGGGUAUGACUGCCAGGCCCAAUGCCUGCUGCUCAGUGGCAGAAGGACAUGAAGCCAAGGAAGGCAGGCAGGCCUAUGCUUUUGAUCCUGGGGGAAUGGUGGAAAGAUGGGAACAAGAAAUAAGCACAAGGGGGGAACUGUCAGAUGUGUGUCCCAAUUUCUCCCCUCCAGGCUUCUGUGUAGAGAUGGCAGGGGCGCAUCAUAGAAUCGGAGGGAAUGGCCGAGACUGGUCCUUCUUGGGCCCUCGUCAGGAGGCCCAGGAUGCCCUGUUCCCCUCUGUCACACCGUGGAGAAGUGUGGUCAGGCAGGAGGCCUGGAGAUCUAGCUUUCCUGGGAAAGCCACAGUGACUGACUAUCUGGCUGGUGGCUGGAGGGGUGAACUUUCGGGGCAAGGUGACCCUGGAGUGGACACUGCAGAGGGAACCACCCCCUUCCGCUACCCUGGGCCAGGGUGCCAUGGGCCUCAUAGACCCACAGUCAGAGAGCUAAGAAAAGGUUGAGGGAGGGCCACAGGGCCUGAGCACCCCGAGGAAGGCCACCUCACAGAUCAUAGCCGUAUGGUCUCCAACCACGAAUUUCAGCUGCAAACACCAACAGGGCAAGGUGUGGCCAGGCGGAGGGGGGACGUGGCCCCCAAGGCCAGAGGAGUCAAUGGACACUACGCUUGAGGGCUCUCCGGGUUCUCUCCUUUGUCAUAUGGUUGAUAAGCCCUGCUGGUACAUUUGGAGAAAUGCUGGGAAAGAGGGUGAAGGUGUGAGAAGGCUGAGAAAAAUGUGAGAUUGCUGAGAAAUGUUA
ensembl:lncRNA